rnacentral:rRNA from 1 species
UACGAAGGGGGCUAGCGUUGUUCGGAAUCACUGGGCGUAAAGCGCACGUAGGCGGAUGUGUCAGUCAGGGGGUGAAAUCCCGGAGCUCAACUUCGGAACUGCCUCUGAUACAGCACGUCUUGAGUCCGGAAGAGGUGGGUGGAAUUCCUAGUGUAGAGGUGAAAUUCGUAGAUAUUAGGAAGAACACCGGUGGCGAAGGCGGCCCACUGGUCCGGUACUGACGCUGAGGUGCGAAAGCGUGGGGAGCAAACAGG